UCAUCCUCCACGCUGUCUGCAGGGGUCAGUGGGGAGUGGGGACAGCCGCGCCUCAGGCCCGGCCCCCUCGAACCCUCUUCAAAAACUGCCGACCCAACCAUCCUCCUCCCCAGCUUUGACACCGGAGACCAGUCUGCCAGUUCCCUGGACCCGAGCGGAGGACAUCAAGGCAAGGAGAGAAGACGUAUGGCUUACUUUCUGAUGGUGAAAUGAUCUCCAACUUUGAAGCAAUAACAGACCUUUGAGUGUUCCUGCUUCUGUCCCUUAAGAACCCACCACCUUCCCAAGCUUUGGGGAGGUGCCCCUCCAGCCAGCAGCCCAGACACGUGGGUUACCUUCCAAGGACACAGGCUCAAAGAGGCCAAACUGCUCCAGGACCUUGACAAACAGAGCGAGGACCACAAGCACAGCAACCAUCUCCAGCCCUUCCAGGUUCAUUGUGGGCGUGGGGCAUGGCCCCCACCAGCUGAGCCUCAGACAACAGCUGCCCUCCCCACACCACCUCCCCCUCAGGCUCCCCAGCCUGAGUAGGACCGCCUGCAGACUCCCUCCUCUGUUCCCUCCCUGGAUCUCCUCCCUCUCCCCCCCCACCCCCUGCUCCACACGCCUCCCAGCCACAGCCUCUUCCUCAUCCAGCCUAUGGACUGGAUCUCCUCCUCGGCAGCCUCUGGAGUGAAGGAUAUGGACCAAGAUGGGUCAGGCCAGAGGAGGAGGCAGUAACCUGCCUCUAUCCCUAAGAACAGCUUCCUCCAAACACCCUGUGGCUGUUCUGUGCCAAAGGAAGGGGGUAGAGGAAGGGGGUGUGCUUAGGGAGAAGGCAGGGGAGGGUGCUGUGUGCUUGUGAGAAACUAUGAGCUGCACGUGUAUAAGAAAUAGAUGCAUGGUCACAAUAUGUUCUGGGUGUCUGGGUGUUUUCUCAGUAUAUAUUCCUGUUUGUCUGUACGGGGUAUAUGUGUCUCUUUUGUGUGUCUGGGUAUUUGUUUACACAUGAUUGUGCAUCUGUUUAUUAGGUAUGUGUCUUGUGACCUGAGUGUCUGUGGUAUGUGUGUGUGAGAGGGUUUUGGAGUACUUCUGAGUAUAUACAGCAUAUGAGGUGUCUAUGUUUUAGUAAGGAGUUGGGUCUGAAGAUUGGUAGUAUGGAUGUGUCCUAUAAUUAGGAGUAUGAGUCUCUGGUGGUUGUGUAAUUGCAUCUGCAUGCAACUGUAUGAGAAUAUAAGGGGAAGAAGAUAGUGACCUCUCCUGUCAGGAGGACACCACCAUCGAUCGUGGUUGCCACGGAGACUGUGAGGGGGAAGCAUCUCUUUCCACAGACCACAGACAGGGAAACUGAGGCCCAAGGGAGGUUAGGAUUAGGUCCAAUAGCCAGGGCAGGAGAAAGGCCAGUUAACCAUAUCACAACCCCCUGGAAAGGGAACUUACUGCAGCUGCUUUUGGGAACAAGAGACUCAAGCUCCUUGGGAGAGGAGGAGGGACUGUGCUCUUCCCUUCCUCCAGGCUGGGGCCUCUCAAGGGAGCUGCCAAAGCCCUGCCUACUCCUUGGGAACUGUUAUUGAGCUCAUGGAGAGGCCCAGGGUAGGAGGGAAGUCCGAACCCUCCAAGGGAGCCACCCAUGCCUACCCUCUCUAGCAUUCCUGUAGCCAUUCCCCCAUCUUCCCAGGUCCUUGCUGGUGGUGGUUGUGGAGUGUGUGUCUGUGUGUGUGUGUCUAUGUAUUUCAGUGGUGGGGGUGGGGGUGGGGAUGGGGGGAGGCCUGCAGAAACAGUGAGCCAGAAGAUAAGAGCCUAAGUUACUGCCACAGCUGGCUAACCUUGAGUACUCACUGAACGCUAGAUUAUAUUCUAUGUGCUUACAGACAUUAUUAUAUUGGAUUUUCACAAUUAACCUGUGAAAGAGGUACUGUUAUCCUCACAUUAUAGGCAGUGAAACUAAGGCAACAGGACGUUAAGCAAGUCUCCAAGAUCAGUGUCAGAACCUCAGUUUAACCCAGUCUGACUCUGAGCCUGUGCUCUAAACCACCACACUAAACUGUCUUUCUUAGCUCACUCACCCAGGAGGCUCAGUUUAGGAGAACUGAUCCAGAGGGAGCCCUUACCCCUUGUCCAGCUCUGGGAUGAGUGUGUCUUAGCCCCCAUUGUGGGGUAGGUGGGGCCAGUUCCUAAGGUUCAUUUGAGGUUCCCUGAUCUGCAGUUCUACAGGGCUACCACUGGGGGUCAGGCUUCUAUCUCAUAUCUUAACCCCUUCCUUCUCAUUCCACCUCCCGAAAUUUAUGGAAGGUGUGGAAAGGACUGGGAAGGAGGGAACGCCGCAGGUAGGCUUGCUUGAUCCCCAGACUGCCCCUCCAAUCCCUCCUCUGGAAAGAAGUCAAGUCAGGGAUUGCUUUUGGUUUCUCAAACAAUUGUUUAAAAAAGACACAGGCCGAACAUGGUCACUUCUGUUCAGCCAAGUCACCAAACCAGGGCCUAAAACUUAAACAUGAUUACAGUUUCAACCUCCCCCCAAAAUGUCAUCAGGCAGGAAUUUUCUGAUAAGUGUCAUUAAGAUAAUCCAUCACGUGCACCUUCUCCACCUUCUGUAAAAGGUCAUGUGUGGUGGUGUAGGUAAAAUUGUAGUAUUUCCAGAAUAUCUCACCUGGCUUUAGUACAUCUGCAUAUCAACAGGCUCUCAAAGGUGGAGAGAAGUAUGGCUUUAGUGCAUUUGCAUCAUUCCUCAGGGGUGGAGAGAAGUUCAUCUCCAUAUCAAUGGGUAAGGAGGGCUUAUAUGUACCUGAGAGAAGAGGGGAGGGCUGGUUUUGCUUCUGCUGGAGCAGGGAAGAGAGACAGCACGUAACUGCAGUUGUGAACAAUAAACAGAUUUAAAAUUUUAUUUCUCCCUUUGACUGAUUUUGGUUUUUAGAGGUAUUUUGCCCCGGGAUUUCCUCUCCCUGGACUUACAUCUGGCACAGUCGGCAGGGUUCCUCUGAACCUGAAAUCUGUUAAAAUGAGUGCAAUGUUUGGGAGAGCUGCCCAAGAAAUGAUGGGGAGAAGUGUCACUUGCACCAAGGGACAUGUGUCUACACUCGUGUGGUCAUACACCACUGCUGGCCAUGCUGACCCCGCCCUGUGGCCCGAGUCUAAGGCUACUGCUUCUGCCACUGCUGCUGCUUCUGCUGCCGGCUAGAGCCUGGUCACAACUAUGGAAAAGAGCAAAGGUCUGGUACAUCUUAACAGAAAAGCAACUGGCUGCUCUGUACCAUGCCUUGCUGGCUACAGAGCCCAUUGCCGGAAAAGCUCUGACCAAGGUAAUAAUCACCUAACUCACCACUGGGUGGGUGAUAGACUGGACCCAAAGGCCAUGGAGUGGUGUGGCACAGACAUCUACCAUAUAUCGUGUGACUGGCCAUUUGCCUUUGGUAUCCCCAGGGAAUAAUGAAGCAGAUGCAUUGGCCCAGGUGUGCUGCCUAAAAGGAAAGCCUGCCUCUGAUGUGACCCAAUGGCUACAUCAGCAUUUGGUGUACGUGGGACAAAAGACAAUGUGGGCUGUAACUGGUCAGUGGGGCUUGCCAUUGACCUUUGAAGAAGUCAGCCAAUUCUGGAAGAAGUGUCAUGCACCUUGUGCAGAUCAGCAAACCACCAAGAGGGGCCUAGAAUGUCUCUUUGCAGCCUAUGGCCUGUCGCCAGUGAUUGAGAGCAAUUAAGGCACACCCACUUUAUUAGACAUGUGUUGCAAGGAUAGGUGCAGCAAUUAAGAAUAAAAUGGACAUAGCCCUGCAAGGCAAACAAAAGCAAAAUUGAACAAGUGGGACUAUAUCAAGCUGAAAAGGUUCUGUACAGCAAAGGACACCACCAACAGAACAAAAAGGCAUCCUACAGUAUGGGAGAAUAUAUUCAUAAAUGACAGAUCCGAUAAAGGUUGACAUCCAAAAUAUAUAAAGAGCUCAUGCACCUCAACAAACAAAAAGCAAAUAAUCCAACUGAAAAAUGGGCUAAGGAGUUGAACAGACAGUUCUCCAAGGAUGAAAUUCAGAUGGUGAAUGGACACAUGAAAAGAUGCUUCACAUCGCUAGUCAUCAGAGAAAUGCAAAUUCAAACCAUAAUGAUAUAUCACCUCAUACCAGUAAGGAUUGCCACCACCCAAAAGACAAACAACAACACAUGUUGGCGAGGUUGUGGAGAAAGGGGAACCCUCCUACACUGCUGGUGGGAAUGUAAAUUAGUUCAACCAUUGUGGAAAGCAGUAUGGAGGUUCCUCAAAAAACUCAAAAUAGAAAUACCAUUUGACCCAGGAAUUCCACUUUUAGGAAUUUACCCUAAGAAUGCAGCAGCCCAGUUUGAAAAAGACAUAUGCACCCCUAUGUUCACUGCAGCACUAUUUACAAUAGCCAAGAAAUGGAAGCAACGUAAGUGUCCAUCAGUAGAUGAAUGGAUAAAGAAGAUGUGGUACAUAUACACAAUGGAAUAUUAUUCAGCCAUAAGAAGAAAACAAAUCCUACCAUUUGCAACAACAUGGAUGGAGCUGUAGGGUAUUAUGCUCAGUGAAAUAAGCCAGGCGGAGAAAGACAAUUAUCAAAUGAUUUCACUCAUCUGUGGAGUAUAAGAACAAAGAAAAAACUGAAGGAGCAAAACAGCAGCAGACUCACAGAACCCAAGAAUGGACUAACAGUUACCAAAGGGAAAGGGACUGGGGAGGAUGGGUGGGAAGGGAGGCAUAAGGCGGGGGGAAGAAAGGGGGCAUUAGGAUUAGCAUGUAUAAUGUGGG